rnacentral:lncRNA from 1 species
UCCAUCAAGAGAAGGCACUCUGAGAUGAAGGAGCUGAUCAGAGCCCAGGAGAAGAAUGAAUUGAGGUGAGCUGAAGGACUCCUGGAGCAGGAGAUAGCUGAGGUGAGGUGCUGAACUGGAGGAGCUCUCACAGAGGAUCACAUCCAUGUUCUUCAGUGAAUCAUCAGACUUACUCCAUCGUUGUCUGACCUCUUCAAUACUUUGGAGAUGUGAGCAAGUCUGUCUGAGCUGAGACAAACUAGAAGACUUCCUUAAAGGACAAUGGACUAAGAUCACCACUCCAGUGAACAUGGAUAUUUUACAGCCUCCUCCAGAGCCCCAAGACCAGAGAAUUGUUCUUACAAUGUGAUUCUGUACCCUGAAGUAAACAGUCUGACACAAUCCUAAAAUAAUAACAGCAAUAGCAGACAGUAUCCACAGUCACUGAAUACAGGCAGGCGACGUUACUGGGAGGUUGAAUUAAGUGAUCGUACUGAUACAGCAGUGUCAUAAAGACAUUAAGAGACAAGGAGGGGACACCUUAUUUUGAUACAAUGACAAGUCCUG